GCAAGUGUAAGUUAAUGGUAGACAAACUCUCUUCCAAAGAGUCAGUACAAGUUUGAAUCUUGUCACUUGCA
rnacentral:tRNA from 1 species